GGCUAUGGCUAUGCCACUCUGAACAAGCCCAAUCCCAUCUGAUCGGGCCUGGUUAGUACUUGGAUGGGAGACCACCUAGGAAGACCAGGUGCUAUAGGUG
rnacentral:rRNA from 1 species